rnacentral:rRNA from 1 species
CCUACGGGUGGCAGCAGUGGGGAAUAUUGCACAAUGGGCGCAAGCCUGAUGCAGCCAUGCCGCGUGUGUGAAGAAGGCCUUCGGGUUGUAAAGCACUUUCAGCGGGGAGGAAGGCGUUAAGGUUAAUAACCUUGGCGAUUGACGUUACCCGCAGAAGAAGCACCGGCUAACUCCGUGCCAGCAGCCGCGGUAAUACGGAGGGUGCAAGCGUUAAUCGGAAUUACUGGGCGUAAAGCGCACGCAGGCGGUCUGUCAAGUCGGAUGUGAAAUCCCCGGGCUCAACCUGGGAACUGCAUUCGAAACUGGCAGGCUAGAGUUUUGUAGAGGGGGGUAGAAUUCCAGGUGUAGCGGUGAAAUGCGUAGAGAUCUGGAGGAAUACCGGUGGCGAAGGCGGCCCCCUGGACAAAGACUGACGCUCAGGUGCGAAAGCGUGGGGAGCAAACAGGAUUAGAUACCCCAGUAGUC